AGAGGGGCCUGGCAGAGCCCGGACCCAGCUGGUUCUCUCUGGGGAGCAGAGCUCUCGGGGUCCCCUGCACCAUGGCCUGGCCUCUCGUCUACCUCCUCCUGCUCACCUGCUGCUCAGGUUCCUUCUCCCAGCCUGUGGUGACUCAGUCUCCCUCCAUGUCUGCGUCCCUGGGAGCCACGGUCAAACUCUCCUGCACCCUCAGCAGUCAGCACAGAGGGUACACUGUUGGUUGGCACCAGCAGAGCCCGGGAAAGGCCCCUCGGUACCUCAUGUAUGUCACCAGCAGUGGAAGUGCAGGCAAGGGCGAGGGGGUCCCCGACCGCUUCUCGGGCUCCAGCUCUGGGGCCAAUCGCUACUUGUCCAUCAGCAACAUCCAGCCUGAGGACGAGGCCGAUUACUACUGUGGGGCAGGUGAUAGUGAUGGUUUACACAGUGAUACAUUCAGUGAGGAAGUGGAACAAAAACCCCCCUGCCAGCCCAGCCCCCGCCCCCUGCUGGCCCCGACUUCUGACACAGCCCCAGCUGCUAAAGGGCCUGAGUUUGUGCUUCCUGUUUCUCUGUCUCGGGCUCAGAGGCCGGUGACCAGGACUUGCCCAAGAGCACACUGAGAUAAGUCUCAGAAGUGGAUCAUUUGUCUCUCCUGACCCAGCACUUUGCUCCUUCCCAAGCUACUUCCCAGGGCACUGACUCCAGGGCAGGCUUUAGCUGAGCCUUCGGGCUGUGGCGGUGGAGGGGGCUGAGGGGCCCUGGCUCCCUGAGGCUGCCAAGGCCAGGCCCUUGUAGAGUGAAGGCUCUUUGAGGUUCCCAUUGGCUCCUACCAAGCGACACAGCCACAUAAUUCUACAAAGAGACUUAAUAAAGAAGCUCCAAGAAGAGGCAAAACCUUAUAAAGGGAGCCCAGAGAGGUCGGGAGAAUUCUAGAAAUUGUCAGCAGAGCAGGGAGCCCUGUUAUGCCACAGUUCUCUUUAACUGUCCUGACUCAGUUUCCUUGUACAAGUUUCCCUUGUCUCAGCCUCCCUAAUUACUCCCCUAAGCUGUAAAUCUCCCUCUGGUCCAUGAAGGCUGAGGACCAAUUAGUCUAAGGUUAUGAAUUGUUAACCCAAGCAAGAUAAAGAAGAGAGUAGACCUCCUGAUUAUCUUCUGUCCUUGAGCAUUUACAACAUCCCUCUAAAACAUUCCAAGGUGUUUCACUAACAUCUUUAUCUCUGGGUAUUCAGACAUCCUGUCUCUGGGUUCCUCUUUGAUUCACAGCCUUUUCCAGCUGGGCUUCCCGCUCUUUCCUACUCUUUCCCUCUUCUUUGUCUCCAAAAGGCAUAUAAAGGUUAGAGAUUCUCCAUUCAUUGCUGGAGAAUGGCGGCUGGCGGUGGAUGCUGGACGCUGGAUUCUUUGAGAUGACAGUCUCCUCCAGACCUGGGACCAACAUGAAUUCCUUGGUCCCAGUAUAUCUUUAUCUCUGUCUGACUGGAUAAUUUGAGACGAGAGUCCUGUCCAGUCAAUCUUACUCUCCCAUUAAUAAAAUAUUAAAAACUCUCUAA